CCUACGGGCGACAGCAGUGAGGAAUAUUGGUCAAUGGGCGGAAGCCUGAACCAGCCAAGUAGCGUGCGGGAUGAAGGCCCUACGGGUCGUAAACCGCUUUUGCACGGGGAUAACACCCUCCACUUGUGGAGGUCUGCAGGUACCGUGCGAAUAAGGGCCGGCUAAUUCCGUGCCAGCAGCCGCGGUAAUACGGAGGAUGCGAGCGUUAUCCGGAUUUAUUGGGUUUAAAGGGUGCGCAGGCGGCGAGUUAAGUCAGCGGUAAAAUUUCGGGGCUCAACCCCGACAAGCCGUUGAAACUGGCUUGCUAGAGUGGGCGAGAAGUAUGCGGAAUGCGUGGUGUAGCGGUGAAAUGCAUAGAUAUCACGCAGAACUCCGAUUGCGAAGGCAGCAUACCGGCGCCCAACUGACGCUCAGGCACGAAAGCGUGGGUAUCGAACAGGAUUAGAUACCCUUGUAGUC
rnacentral:rRNA from 1 species